rnacentral:miRNA from 1 species
GACGUCGAAUAUCGACGUCAUAAACACCAAAGUUGAACGUGUUUAUUACGUCGAAUAUCGACUUCAUAAAUACCAAAGUUGAUUGUGUUUAUGACGUCGAAUAUCGACGUCAUAAACACCAAUGUUGAUCGUGUUUAUGAGGUCGAAUAUCGACGUCAUAAACACCUAAGUUGAUCGUGUUUAUGAAGUCAAAUAUCGACGUU